rnacentral:rRNA from 1 species
UACGGGGGGAGCAAGCGUUGUUCGGAUUUACUGGGCGUAAAGGGCGCGUAGGCGGCCACCGCAAGUCGACUGUGAAAUCUCCGGGCUUAACCCGGAAAGGUCAGCCGAUACUGCGGGGCUAGAGUGCAGAAGGGGCAACUGGAAUUCUCGGUGUAGCGGUGAAAUGCGUAGAUAUCGAGAGGAACACCUGCGGCGAAGGCGGGUUGCUGGGCUGACACUGAUGCUGAGGCGCGAAAGCUAGGGGAGCGAACGGG